ensembl:rRNA 5S_rRNA 5S ribosomal RNA
GUCUACGGCCAUACCACCCUGAACAUGCCCGAUCUCGUUUGAUCUCGGAAGCUAAGCAGGGUCGGGCCUAGUUAGUACUUGGAUGGGAGAAAUGGACUGGGAGGAUGGAUUGACC